AGCCUGAACGCUGGCGGCGUGGCUAAGACAUGCAAGUCGUACGGUGUAGCAAUACACAGUGGCGAACGGGAGAGUAAUGAAUCGCUAAUGUGCCCCGGACUCUGAGAUAGCCAUCCGAAAGGGUGGGUAAUACCAGAUGAUAUAUCUUUAUCGCAUGAUAGAGAUCUCAAAGGUCCGCCGGUCUGGGAGCAGGCGAUUUCGUAUCAGCUAGUUGGUGAGGUAACGGCUCACCAAGGCGACGACGCGUAGCCGGACUGAGAGGUUGGCCGGCCUCAUUGGGACUGAGACACUGCCCAGACUCCUACGGGGGGCUGCAGUAACGAAUCUUCCGCAAUGCACGAAAGUGUGACGGAGCGACGCCGCGUGUGGGACGAAGUCCUUCGGGAUGUAAACCACUGUCAGGGGUUACCAAGUUCUGAGGAGCCCCAGAGGAAGGGACGGCUAACUCUGUGCCAGCAGCCGC
rnacentral:rRNA from 1 species